rnacentral:tRNA from 1 species
GCCGGCGUAGCUCAGUGGUUAGAGCAGGGUCUUCAUAAGGCCAAGGUCGCAGGUUCGAAUCCCGCCGUCGGCAC